rnacentral:rRNA from 1 species
CGCUGGCGGCGUGCUUAACACAUGCAAGUCGAACGGAAAGGCCCUUCGGGGUACUCGAGUGGCGAACGGGUGAGUAACACGUGGGUGAUCUGCCCUGCACUCUGGGAUAAGCCUGGGAAACUGGGUCUAAUACCGGAUAUGAUCAUGCGCCUCAUGGUGUGUGGUGGAAAGCUUUUGCGGUGUGGGAUGGGCCCGCGGCCUAUCAGCUUGUUGGUGGGGUAAUGGCCUACCAAGGCGACGACGGGUAGCCGGCCUGAGAGGGUGACCGGCCACACUGGGACUGAGAUACGGCCCAGACUCCUACGGGAGGCAGCAGUGGGGAAUAUUGCACAAUGGGCGCAAGCCUGAUGCAGCGACGCCGCGUGGGGAUGACGGCCUUCGGGUUGUAAACCUCUUCCAGUACCGACGAAGCGUAAGUGACGGUAGGUACAGAAGAAGCACCGGCCAACUACGUG